UCCAGCUUGUCGUUCCACAAUUUAGUGUACUGCAUCUGUCAGCCAUGUAAUGGCGUCGUUGACCUUUGACGUUGGGUACCGAGUGUGACCAUCAUCGUUUACUCUCCCUUGAAUUGGUUUUUAAAACUUGUGGCUGCCUAAAUGCUUGAUACAAUUUUUCAUGUCGGACACCCGAAGAAGUUCAUUUUUACUUCUCGUUCUUAAAUGAAAAAAUAAAGAGGAGCUUGGAAAUCAUUUCAUUAGCCAAAACAAAGAGAUGUUAAAAAGCUGUUACUGAAAGCGUUGAAAGUGUUAUUGAAACUAGGAAAAUGUUGAAAUUUAUGAAACUCAAAGUGCUUGUCGAUCCAGAAGUUUCUGCUGAUACCCUUUUGCCAAAAACUUCACCACAGGAUGAGGGGUAAGUUUUGGUGACAAAACGAAUCCGACGUUCCAAACCGAUUGUGAUGGACGGCACUCUCUCCAUAUAACAUUGAACUGGACAUCGAGUUGGCUUUGAUCUUACCAGUCAAAGUGUGCUCAGUGAUGUUGCCUUUGAUAUCGAACCCAUCGCCACCACCGGCCAAAAAGCUAGGCAUCGCCACGUCAUAGAUUUCCUAUUGUCAACCUUGGGCUGGACCGGACUGUAGGCUGGAAUACGACAAUUGUUGCAUCGUGCCAAAAGUUCUACCACUCUAUCACCUAUGGGCCUAGCUAUGUCGUACGCAACUUGGAGACCUGUGGAUCAUUGCUCGAUAGAAAAAACAUUUAAAAGAAUUCGUGAAAGAAAACCAUUUACCUGAAACCUGCAGAAAUCCACCGAAGGGAUCCAGAGCUGAUGGAUCGUAAUCAUGCACUGUAAACUCGAAAAUAUUCUUCAGCGUUUCACCGCUGAUUUUGACGAUGUCUACUGUAUUACUGAAAGGAGCGACUGAAAGAAGGUCACCGUACGUGAUGGAUCCUACAAGACAGAAUCCACUUGUAGAUUUUUAAAAGAACUCGUCAUUAACUGAAUUCACCAUUUUGGGCGCGCUCAUCGAUGGAUGCCCUGACUCCGCCGCCAUUGACGAGAGCGAUAGCCACUUUACUCCACUGACCCUCGCCUGCAAACUUGGUGAACUGCAUUAAAGCUAUAAACGGUUAUUCAAGGAUUGCCGUAAUAUCUUAUUAGCAUACCAAAUCAACGUAGGCGUCAGCAAUGAAAUUUCCAAGAUUGCAUUCAACCAUGCGACAGGACAGACGAUUACCGUCCAAGAAGACGAGCGUUUUUCCAACUUCUUUCUCGACAAAGCUUCGACUUCUUUUCGAAAUGGGAUCAGUUCCUGCAGGACGUGUGGAUCUGCAUCGUGGAUGAAACGAUGGCAGAUGUGUAAUUUACGACCAGUAGGAUUUACAACUACAAUAGUACCUCGAGGUAUGGUCUUAUCCAUGAGAAUCGGUAGGCCAGCAGUAGCGAUCACAUCUCCAUCGUCGUUAAAAGUCACCAUCAAGUUGCCCAGAUAUUUGCCAAAGGCGAAUGCCUGAACGACGGGCACUUCCUUCCCAGACGGUUGCUUCACCAUGGUCGGAUAUGGACCUUGUGGAAUUUCGAUGGACGGAGCCGGACCUGCACGUUAAUGGAUUCGAGCUUAAAUUGAUUACACUAACAGCUUACCGUUCCAGAGAAAUGUGUUGGUAUGACCGCCUACCACCACGUCGAUAUCUGGCACCUGUUCAGCGAUUUCCAUAUCUUUGAGAUAACCCGCGUGACCGACUGCAAUUAGAAUAUUGACUCCAUCCUUUUUAAGGCGUUCUGCUUCUUCUCGAACGCCUUGAAUUUCGUCAAAGACUUUGACUGCGUCCAAGGUGGAGAUGUACUGCCAUUUGUGAUCAAGAGCCAAAAGAAGACGUCAUUUAUAAUUUUCACAUCACUAAUUUUGUUAGAAAAAUGUUUUUUCACCGAUGUUUCAACCGUCAGGUAGCCAAUGAUGCCUACCCUGUGUCCACCUACUUGGACGACUACUGAUUUUGGAAUUUUCCCAUGAAGCCAAGAGUUCCAGGAAGAAAGUUCAAUCAGAGUUUACAGAGGCAUAAUUGAUUAAAAGAAAAGGUAUUUUUACCGGAUGGUUGGCUGCAUUCACGAACGGUGCCAGCCCCGGCACGCCAUCAUCAAAUUCAUGGUUGCCAAGAGACUACUCAGCACAAAAGGAUGAGGGAAAAAAAUCCAAAAUUAAUUGCUAAAAUUUCUAAUCCCUACAUGUCGUGCCUGUAAACGUUUUGACAGCACAAUUGAUAAUAAUGAACGUUCAAUAUGUGCUGCCAGGCUUUCCGACGGAUGUGUACAAAGCAUAGGGCGUUUCCCCAUUCGUGGUUGUCUAAACCAGGAAAACGCGCUACAUCAAUAAUUAAGAAACAAAUUUAUCAACGUGAGUGUAAACACACGGACCGUUAACGCGCUGCCACAUGGGUGGGAAAACUGUCGGCGAUGAUCACGCAAAAAACGCAGCUUUUUUUCAUUCCAUUACAAGCAGAUAAGAAGGAUUUCAACAACUCACAUUGUGAAAAUCAUUGGAAUAGAAAGUGGCCGUUAAAAAGAAUGACGGACGUUUUCCAUUGUCCAUUUCAACAUAGGCUACCUCGAUAAACCUAAUAACCACAGUGAGUGGAAAGGAAAAGGAUUGUUUGGCUUCUUGACCGAACCACUAUGCUACAGAAACAUCUGUCUUUAGAAAGCGAAACAACGGAGGAAACAUGAAUAACUUACCAUGGCCGUUAAGUUGAGCAAGUUACCGAAGUGGCUGACGGCCUUCCAUUUAUGGAUGGUAUACCAUCUGUCGGCGAGACCAAAUACGUAAACCAAACGCCAAUCAGAAGUAGCAAAGCAGGCAAGGAGAUAUAAAUAUUGCACAGCAUUUGUUCUCACAUGGUGCCUUGGAAGAAAUCACCGCCAUUUAAAAAAAUUGUGUCCGGAUGCUGUUCACGAAUUUUUCGAGCUUGAUGGACCAGACGGGCAUAUCCACCGAAACAAUUGCCAUCCUCCGAGUCUCGUUGUUUGCACGCCCCACCGAGUUUGUUGGCCUCUUCGAAACGGCAAUGGAUAUCGUUAGUGUGUAGGAUAGUCAAAUUAAACGAAGCUGAUGCCUGCUUGACAACGAAAGAUACACAAAACAGACCCAACAGCCUCAACCACAUGAGUACGGUAUUACGUGUCGACCAGUCCUGCAUUUUCUGCUCAACUGUGGACAAAAUUUUGAGCGUUCAGCGUUAUAUUGCUCACCAAACUGGAAAUAGGCGUCGCCACAAGCUGUCUACUAGCUUUCGGAGAGAGGAGACUAAAUCCGAAGGACGUAACCAGCAAGAGUCAUCUCCUAUUCAAAGUGAGUGAACUUCUUUUGCCAUUUGAUAGCAAAUAAGCCGUCUGGUCCAUAUUGCAGACGAAAUCUCUCGCUGCUGAUAUCCUAUAGUUCUCGUUAGCGUGGGACUUACAUAAGCUCUUAUUAUGCAGUUUCGUCUCAUUUUAGCCUGUCAUUUUAAGAACAACUCAGUAGGUACUUGCACAGUAAAUUUGUGGCGACGACUUCUUCCUGGAAAUGAAUUUGUUUUUAAGUUUCUGUUGUAGCUUGUAACCAAUAGGUAAAUCGAUGAAAUAUAGCUUCCCUUCGCAGAUUCCCUUCGGGAUUCGGUUUGCUAUAAGAAGCUAGCCCAGAUGCCAAUCGUCUUGAUCCCUCUCCCUUUGAUUGCGAUUCGAGUCAACGCAUUCCAUCAUGCCAGCGAUCGCAGACGUUGUUCGACCAUUCUUUUCACAGGAUUUUAUGACUGGACUUCCUGCAAUUCCUGAUACCAUCUGUCCUAAGAGGUUGUAGACAAGAUGGUUGAAGCCGUUUGGAACUGUUCCAGCAAUUUCCAAGGUCCUGUAUGACCUGACGGCGAAACCACCGGAGAAAAAGGAGUGGGAAUGAUUUGAUUUACGAACGUUGCUUAGGCAAAUGAUCUCCACACUCUUUAUAGGACAAGGAUACGGAGUUUUAUCAUGACCAGAUUUAGAUGGGAGAUAUUACGAACAUUGGAUUCAGUAUAGACUUUUGAAAUUGAAAAAUUAAUCAGCUUUGUCGUCUCGUGAAAAUCUUUUUAACUCGCUUUUUAAGAGGAGUUCACGUGAUGACUUGUCUAUUUCUUAAUAUACAUGCACACUUGUCGGAAAUAAUGGGUGCAUUUAUUUUUCGUCGAACAAAUUAAACAUUGUUAAUGGGCAGCUAGGUGGGUUGUUGUUGUUUCCCUCCCUUGUAAAACUACCCUUUUUCACCCAAUUGUUAAUCUAAUUCUUUUGGGAACGUUCGGAUGUCGCCCAAAAACAAGCGGGAGGCUAUUCGAGGCGUUAUGCCAUUUCCUGAAAUUUAACAUUCAGGAAAUUUGUUAUAAGUUCGCAAACUUUUAAGGUCUUUUCAGAGUAGUACCAUAAAGUAUGACAGUAGAAAAGGGUACUGAGGUUUCUUAAAGUGAAGAACAGAUCUGACGCCUUUGGUAAGCGGAAAAAGUACUGCAUAUUGAAGUGUCAGAUGACGGUUUAAAGAAUGAACUCUUUCGUUUACCCAAUGAAUCUUAACUUGGAACUGGCAGGUGGCGUUUAGCAGUGGCACCCAAUCUUUAUUCUUAAAACCCAGAGGUGUUCUUCACUUUUCAAGUGGAUUUAUUGAUGAUACUUGCUGGUUAAACCAUGAAGAAUACCAAUACAUGGAUAAGUGGAGGGUUAUAAAACUGUAAUUCCUCAAGGCAUUUUCAUUCACGCAUGCGAGGCAGUUCGUGAGCAGACGAACCAUUGAAAGAGCCUUGCGCAGUCUAGCAGCAUUCGGUCAGAUAUAUGCAGAACCCGAAACAUUGUUUUGACAAGUACUGUCAUAUUUCGAUUGCAGGUUUUCACUAAAUACCAAGUGUCAGAACUGACUUAGCGUAAUUCAUGAAAAAUCGCGAUUUUGCUCAAAUCUGACUUUUGGCUAAAACACCUCAUUCCAGCCCCAAAUUUAAUAAGGAUCACGAAAAUCCUAUUCGUUUUGUUAUGGAAUCCCUAUUUCCGAAGAUAUUGGCUACUUCCAGUUACUUCCGGGUGUUGUAGCUUUUAUUCCGUGUAUUUUUGCCAUCAACAGUAGAGGCUGACCCCACGAGCAACGACAGUUUUAGCUAAAGAUGUUUAGCUUCUCGAGCUGCAACUAUUUGUAGUUGAUAUUCUAGGAUGAAAAACUAGAUGACGUUGACAUGCACUUUGAUAAAGAUCACAAAUGACAAGUAAAAUAUGUGGUAAUCAAUCGAUGCUGUCUGUUCUACUACACUUGGGGAAUAAUGGUUCAGUGAUGGGGUACAACACCACUCCAAUCCAUAGUGGCAAGGUAGAAUCUAUUGCAACGAAAUAUUUCGUUGCAAUAAGAGACUUACGGUCAAAUCCGACUUUUGGCUAAAAAUAUGCCUCACGGGCAUCGGUAGCCGGGCAAAGUGGCCCACCGCAAAAAAACAAAUAGGGAAAAAGUCUCUUAUUGCAAUUGCAACGAAAUAUUUCGUUGCAAUAGAUUCUACCAAGCAAAUUAACUAUUUCUGAAGCAGACGAACUGUAUGACUAACUCAAUUUUGCCCAUUGUUUUGAAAAGUACUGUCACUGGCAUCACCAUCUAGCGGAAUUCUGACAGGAAAAUAGUUUUUUUUUUUUUCAAUAACACGUUUUGUGUAAAAAAUUUACAUGAUUUGGAUUCAAAAUUCAACAACAAUUACAAAAAAACAAUACAAUUUACAAAACAGUCGGACUUACUUCUUUUAUGGAGAAGUGAGAGGAUUUUAAGUUGGGUUUCAAAGUAGAUGGAGCCACUGCUGCAUAUUUUCAAGACAUGGCCAUGGCAUUUCUGGUUUAGCAUCCACGGAGAAUACCUGCGUCAUUAAGUUCUUGUUAAAAUUACACUCCUGAUGUCGCGUGGUUUUACCUGGAAUUUAGCGUCUCAGAACUGUGCUCGAUGUGCUGUGAUGGCCACAGGACCCUGUUUGUGACAGAAUGCAAUGCCACAGAUGUUUUGUUGCCACUGUAAAUAAAAAAGAUCUUUAGUGUCACUCUUGUGUUGAUGAAUUGCUAGCUCACACGUAAGAAGUAAAAGGAAGUUCAAGAUUUUUGUCUUGUCAUUGUGGUGAUUGAUGACUGUUUGUCACAUGAUGGAGGCUACUUUUAAAAUGAAAACAACAAAAACUCCUUUAGUCAUGAAGAUUCGUUUGGGUUCUUUUUCGACAACAAAGUCUUGCAGAAUGGUAAACAGCUGUGAAUGGUCACAUACUCAAAUGACGACGAGAUUAAGUGAGAGGUUUGUGAAAUAAGUUAUAUAAUGUUACUGUUAUUUUUUGUCAUAUAAAAUGAAAUACAAAAAUGUUAAUAUAUA